UAGUGUUAAUGCUAUAAGAGUGUAGUAUCAACUCACAAAGUUAUCAGGUUAAAUAGCUUUAUCAACUAAUAAAUUUGCUGAGUAUCGUAGUAAAAGUUAAGAUAUGAUGUUAAGAAUUUUUUUGAGUCGUGCAAUAACAUUAACAGCAAACUAUAAUACAAAUCUAUCUUU
rnacentral:misc_RNA from 1 species